rnacentral:rRNA from 1 species
CAUGCAAGUCGAACGGGCACUUCGGUGCUAGUGGCAGACGGGUGAGUAACACGUGGGAACGUACCUUUCGGUUCGGAAUAAUUCAGGGAAACUUGGACUAAUACCGGAUACGCCCUUCGGGGGAAAGAUUUAUCGCCGAUAGAUCGGCCCGCGUCUGAUUAGCUAGUUGGUGAGGUAAUGGCUCACCAAGGCGACGAUCAGUAGCUGGUCUGAGAGGAUGAUCAGCCACAUUGGGACUGAGACACGGCCCAAACUCCUACGGGAGGCAGCAGUGGGGAAUAUUGGACAAUGGGCGCAAGCCUGAUCCAGCCAUGCCGCGUGAGUGAUGAAGGCCUUAGGGUUGUAAAGCUCUUUUGUCCGGGAAGAUAAUGACU